rnacentral:snoRNA from 1 species
GCAUGGUAAUGGGUUUAUGGCAAAUCCUGUCUGUGGGCCUCUCAUAAUAUAUCCAGGCCAGAGUGAAUGGCAGCCUCCAACCAUUGCCCAGCUUUCUUAUCUGUGGACUGGAAAAAAGGUUGCACAAUU